UGGGGAAUAUUGCACAAUGGGCGGAAGCCUGAUGCAGCGACGCCGCGAGGGGGAUGAAGGCCUUCGGGGUGUAAACUCCUUUCGACAGGGACGAAGCUUUUGUGACGGUACCUGUAUAAGAAGCACCGGCUAACUACGUGCCAGCAGCCGCGGUAAUACGUAGGGUGCGAGCGUUGUCCGGAAUUACUGGGCGUAAAGAGCUCGUAGGUGGUUUGUCGCGUCGUCUGUGAAAUUCCGGGGCUUAACUCCGGGCGUGCAGGCGAUACGGGCUGACUUGAGUGCUGUAGGGGAGACUGGAAUUCCUGGUGUAGCGGUGAAAUGCGCAGAUAUCAGGAGGAACACCGAUGGCGAAGGCAGGUCUCUGGGCAGUAACUGACGCUGAGGAGCGAAAGCAUGGGUAGCGAACAGG
rnacentral:rRNA from 1 species